rnacentral:ncRNA from 2 species
AUUUAAUAAAUACUCCAAGGUGUUGUUUAUCUAUUAGAUUAACAACUUGAAAGGGAAUUGGGUCUAAAUCCCACGCAGUCCCACUGUUGUAAUUGAGUAGGAAACCUUCAAAAAUGUCACUGAUAUUUCUAAAUAUUGGGAAGGCGAAGGGUUACGUCGGUCCAUAAGCCAGAAAACCUGCCUUGAUAAACGAUCUACG